UACGUAGGGGGCAAGCGUUGUCCGGAUUUAUUGGGCGGAAAGCGCUCGCAGGUGGUUCGUUGCGUCGUGCGUGAAAGACCCCGGCUCAACUGGGGAGGGUCGUGCGAUACGGGCGAACUGGAGGCCAGUAGGGGGAUGCGGAAUUCCGGGUGUAGUGGUGGAAUGCGUAGAGAUCCGGAGGAACACCAGCGGCGAAGGCGGCAUCCUGGACUGGUCCUGACACUCAUGAGCGAAAGCGUGGGGAGCGAUCCGG
rnacentral:rRNA from 1 species